UACGAAGGGGGCUAGCGUUGUUCGGAUUUACUGGGCGUAAAGCGCACGUAGGCGGAUCGUUAAGUCGGGGGUGAAAUCCUGGAGCUCAACUCCAGAACUGCCUUCGAUACUGGCGAUCUUGAGUCCGGAAGAGGUGAGUGGAACUCCUAGUGUAGAGGUGGAAUUCGUAGAUAUUAGGAAGAACACCGAUGGCGAAGGCAGCUCGCUGGGACGGUACUGACGCUGAGGCGCGAAAGCGUGGGGAGCAAACAGG
rnacentral:rRNA from 1 species